AGCAGCCGCGGUAAUUCCAGCUCCAAUAGCGUAUAUUAAAGUUGUUGCAGUUAAAAAGCUCGUAGUUGAAUUUCAGGCCUGGCUGGACGGUCCGCCCUUCGGGUGAGUACUGUCUGUGGUCGGGUCCUACCUUCUGGCGAAGCGUCAUGGCCUUAACCGGCCGUGGCGGGGAACCAGGACUUUUACUGUGAAAAAAUUAGAGUGUUCAAAGCAGGCAAAUCGCUUGGAUACAUUAGCAUGGAAUAAUGGAAUAGGACAAUGGUUCCAUUUGUUGGUUUCUAGGACCGUUGUAAUGAUUAAUAGGGAUAGUUGGGGGCAUUAGUAUUCAAUUGUCAGAGGUGAAAUUCUUGGAUUUAUUGAAGACUAACUACUGCGAAAGCAUUUGCCAAGGAUGUUUUCAUUAAUCAAGAACGAAAGUUAGGGGAUCGAAGACGAUCAGAUACCGUCGUAGUCUUAACCAUAAACUAUGCCGACUAGGAAUCGGGCGAUGUUGACAAAAUGACGCGCUCGGCACCUCAUG
rnacentral:rRNA from 1 species